AAUGAACGUUGGCGGCGUGGAUUAGGCAUGCAAGUCGCACGAGAAACCAAUUAGCUUGCUAAGAGGUGGACAGUGGCGAAAGGGAGAGUAACGCGUGGUUACGUGCCCUCGAGACCGGGAUAGUGUCGGGAAACUGGCAGUAAUACCGGAUAACAUCUUCGGAUCAAAUGGUGUGAUUCCGCUCGAGGAUCGGACCGCGUACUAUUAGCUUGUUGGUGAGGUAACGGCUCACCAAGGCUGCGAUGGUUACCGGGUGUGAGAGCAUGGCCCGGCUCACUGGGACUGAGACACUGCCCAGACAUCUACGGAUGGCUGCAGUCGAGAAUCUUCGGCAAUGGACGAAAGUCUGACCGAGCGACGCCGCGUGCGGGAUGAAGGCCCUCGGGUUGUAAACCGCUGUCAGUUAGGAGGAAAUGCAUGAGGGUUCUCUCUCAUGUUUGACCGAUUUUCAGAGGAAGGACGGGCUAAGUUCGUGCCAGCCGCCGCCGUAACAC
rnacentral:rRNA from 1 species